GAGAGGACCGGAGUGGACGCAUCACUGGUGUUCGGGUUGUCAUGCCAAUGGCACUGCCCGGUAGCUAAAUGCGGAAGAGAUAAGUGCUGAAAGCAUCUAAGCACGAAACUUGCCCCGAGAUGAGUUCUCCCUGAGACUUUAAGUCUCCUGAAGGAACGUUGAAGACGACGACGUUGAUAGGCCGGGUGUGUAAGCGCAGCGAUGCGUUGAGCUAACCGGUACUAAUGAACCGUGAGGCUUAACCUUACAACGCCGAAGCUGUU
rnacentral:rRNA from 1 species